UAAAUUAUUUAAGUAAUCUGACAUCAAGAGCUGUGACAAUGAAAACCACUUCUUACACAUGUUCUAACAAGAAUCUGAUUAACAUUUUUGUGGAUAUGGAAAAUAACUUUUUUUAGUCAAGCUGCCACCAUUGCUGAAUUUGGAAUGAUUUCCUUAUUCACUAGAUGGCAAAAUGUGAAUCAUGCGUGUGACCAAAUAUGAAAAUAAAAUGCCAUCUUUGUGUAGUACAGAACAACCAAGGGAGAGCUCUAGGGAUAUCACAUUAUCUAGUGAUUGACAAUAUCAGGAUGAUAAUUUAUCCCCAACUAUGAGAGUACAUUUCAAUAAGUCACUCAUGCCUGAAGGCCUCUGACUACCUUGACAAAGAAAAUCUAAGCCCAUGAUUUAUUAUAGAUUGGACAACAUGCCUAAUUAGAUCCAUGAAUGGAAGCAAACAGCUUUACGUCCCCUUUGUUCAGAACAAAAACAACCUCUAGGUCAACCAGAAAGCUAAAAAAUAUCAAAGAUAUAGAAACAAGUGUUUUAAAAAUUAAAAAUACAGAAUUAGAAAUAUCUCUCAUCCUAAUCUCUUUUAUCUUGCAAGAUAGACUUUUUGUUGUUGUUGUUCCAUUUCGAAGAGCCACCACUGGACUGAACCUGACAGUCUAACCUCCUGGAAAAGUGAGCCCAUGUUCCUGGUAUUGUUACACCUUCUGUUCUUACCCUCUCAUUUUCCACCUAACAGACUUAUAUCUUUAAACCAUGUUUCUCCUUCAGUUUUUCUGAAGUAAAAAUCUGGUUCUCUCAGAUUGUGGCCUCUUUUCUGUGGUGGACACCCGAAGGCUUCUCUUCUGCCUUUUGCCCCUUCUCACUCUCUGUCGAGAUUGACCUCUCUCAUCCCUGUAACAGCAUCACCCCUCUUGAGUGAACACCACUGGUUUUCUUUGUAAGUCAAAUUCGCCAUCUUGAUCUUCCUCUUUCUGUCAUCUGUUCUGUUUAUACCUAUAUUCUCCCAUCUGUUUGUCCCCCUACUAAUUUUUAUGUCAAUCAAGGCACAUGUUUUUCCUUUCUCUUAUCUUGGGCUACAACCACUUCUUUAGAUACCAGCAUUGGUGAGAGCUCCAGUGACAUUCCCAAAAUGUGCCUUUGUGUGAAGACUUUUCUUAAUUUAACAUGACAGGAGCACUUUUAGUCAGCCAUUAUGAAACUGAGUGAACAGCAAGCUAAUUUUUGUGUCUUUGCUUUUUGUAGUGAAGCAACAGAGACUGGAACUCAGAAAGCUCUCAGGAAUCACUGAGGAAGAAAUUAAGACAAGCAAGAAUUUGGGGAGCUCUUCAUGAGGAAUCUACUCAAAGACCACCUUCAUCCAAUUAAGAACUGAAUGAAAAAACUGUUAGAAGGACUGUGCACUAACAGGCUGGAGGCGAGACAUGUGUCAGAGCUGACCCAGUCUCUGAAGGGAUUCUGCAAGAAGAAGAAGCCUUUGUGCAGGUACUGGGUCAAGAAUGCCUUUUCAAAGCUUGUCUCACACUUUGUGUGGAAGAGGCCCCCCGGGAGGGCACGGUUCCUGCAGAAUGCUUCGCAGUAGGAGGGAGGCAGGAGCCCUCCCCUUCUGUCCUCUAGGGCCCGCCAUCCAUCAACAUCACAACUCUUCAGUGUCCCAUGCAACAACCAAGAGCAACCUGGAAGCAAGUACCUGCUUCAUCAGGGGCUCUGGGGAAGGCUCAGAGAGCGUCCAGAAUAUCCAUAGCAAAAUGUCUCCUCCCCAUUGUCUCCCAGCGCCCCACCCACCCACCCACCAGAGCAGCCUUAAGCCUCGCUUUGUCUUCUGAGCACACUCUGUAGACCUCUCCCUUGCCAAUGACCUGCUGCCACGGAGCCAGUCUCUCCUUCCUCCUAGAGAACCCGUCCUUUAAAAACCCCCUAUCGCAGGUUGCUUUGGCUUUUACGCUCAUCUGCAGAUCAAAGGCUCGUAAGCCUGGUGCACAGGCACCGAGUUUUCCAGCUCCCACCCCAUGACUCCCAUCCUCGGUAGAUGAUCUUGUCUGUCUUUACUUCUGUCACCCCUUAACUUGUCGUGUGCAAGCCUGCGUUUUCAAAUGAUGCAAAAUAGACCCAACACCUCAAUUCUGGAAGCUUACUGAAGUUCAGUCAGACGUUGACUCAGCCAUUGAAACUCCCUGUGUUGGAGUAAUUUACAUACGUAUCUGCGAGGAAAACGGAAGAGCCUGGUAGACAGCAUUCUAUGGCCUUUCUCCAUUAACUCGAGUAGACAAAAAGGAAGCACCACAGCCAAACAGAACUAUUCCCUCUGGUCUUUCUCCCUCUCCCAAAGAAAAAAAAGAACAGAAACACCUGUGCUACCUCCUCCCCAACCUCACUUCACAGAGUCUGGGGAGCCCCGGCCGGCGUCAGUGAGGAGGGGGGACACCCCUGGACUGAAGAUCUCAAUGGCCCCGAUCAUCAAAGUCCCUCAUUUCUGUGAGUUUUGACUUGAGCUGAGGUCAGUGCAGGACAGGGGUGGGAAAUGUGACUGCCUGGAAGGGCUUUUUCAUUCUGGAGUGUCAGCUGUGGGUCAGACAGUCUCAGGGAAUAAGCUGUAAGUGGAGGUGAGUCUUUCCAUAUGUCUUGCAUGAAAAUUGAAAAUGAUCAUCUAAUGUAGUCCAGAAUCCCUCCAAAACAGUUUUAUUGUUUUGAAAAAGAAAAGGAAAAAUGUGAUCCAGGUCGAACGUCAUGGGGUCUCUAAUCCAAAUGAACAAAGCAGGAGAACAGUUCACCCCUGAAAUGGAGUCAAAGAGGGAUCCCAGCGGGUAACAGGUGGGGCUGUGCGUCCAAGUGGACAUUUCAUAAGGCACAAUUUGAUGAGGGUGAUGGCAUGGGAUAGUCACAGGAAUUCCAGACUUCCCAUUUGCUGAUGAGAGGAAAGAGGCUGCUGAACUCCUGAGAGAUCUUUAAAAUAAUUUUUCAGUACUUACUGAGGGAUUUGAUGUAUAAGUUACAAAAAAAAACAAAAAAAAAGAAGAAGCUGGGGCAGAUAAUAGCUAUUUACCCUACAGGACUGACAAUCGACAGUAGAGUAGCUGACAAUAUUCUCCCAUUCCUUGCCUCGAAAUACAGCCUCUCUCGCAGAUAUGUGAAAUUCCACUGUUAGAGAUUCUUUCCUUUGUAUUAAACAUCCUUCAUGAUUCAUUUGGUUUCAUCCCAAUCCCUCGAAGACUGAGUUACGUAUCAUUUUCAGCCUAUUCUGCUCGAUAGGAGUGUAUGGAGGUAUUUAGUUUCAGGAUGAGUCAAGUAAUUCUUUUUAUUUCUAAUUAGAAAUGUGAAAUGCUUAUUGAACCAAAUGAGGUCGUGUCUUGGAUUUGCUUUAAAAUAAAAAUAGGUGGGGGAAUAGGUAGAGAUACGGAAAAAAGACUGGCUAGGCUGAUCAUUGUGGUAGCUGAAUGAUGGGUAUGUAGGAGUUCAUGUCUCGUACUCUGGGCUGUUAUAUAUGUUUGCAGUUUUCCAUAAUAGGACGUAUUUAUUUCAGAGAGGAAAACAAUAAGAUCUUGCUUAAAAAAAUGAAAAUGUUUUGUUGCAUAAUAUGUAAAAGCUAUAAAAAACACUGGAGCUAGACAAUUAGUCUUCUGCACUCCUCUUCCUUCCACCAGAGACUACAGCUGUAAACAACUAGUGUCUGUUCUUCCAGACUUUUUUUUUUUUUUUAAAUCCUAGGAUUCUAAAGCCAAAAAGAACCACAGACACUAUCUAAGGGGGUCUGGUGUCUUCUCUUGUGAGGAAGAAGAGGGCCAGGGCGUUGUGGGCAGGGAUGGGGGCAAGAGUGCAAGGUAGAGUCCAAACUGGGGUCCAGGUCCCACUGCCCCAGGGUCAGUCUCCAGUGAACCCCUCAGGGGACGUGCUUUUCCAAACCCACACUUGUUGGCUUCUCUAGCUUACAGUCUUUUUAUGGUGACCAGUGAGAGAUGUGAGAGUCAAGGCCAAAGUACUGGAGGUCUUUUUACCCACGACAAGAAGUAGAUCCCACAGAGCUCGGUGACUAAGGCAGGAAACCACCUCCCACUUCCUCCAUUCUGGGGGCUGGACGAUGCUACUUACCCUCUGCGGGGACCAGCGUGGGACCUCCUGUCCCUACCACAACCCGGGACAUAACUGAACAGCUCCACUGCACAGCUGUCGCUACCAUUAGCUUAUGAAUCUAUCGAAGCAGAGAAGUUUGAGAAGGAAAAGCAAUAUUCCAGUCCUAGAUUCUAAGGACCUGUUGCUUGGGUGAGGAGGAGCCCAGGAGCACAAGGAAACCUGAAACUAACCCCCCAGUAUAUCUUCAUCCCACUGGACUAAACGAUGAACUGGACAGGGCACGGUCGGUCAUGCUCAUGGGACAUUUCUCCAACCACACAACCAGACCUGCUGGCACAAUGCUGGGCGGUCCCUGCCGAAAGCCACAGGGAAGUGAGCAAAGUCAGCAAAGAGUGCUCAAGCUCUGAUGCGAAGUCGUCUCCAGAGGUCACCUCCUGUCCCACCUCGUCGCCGCAUCCUACUAAAGCCACCUAAAGCCACGCGGGAUAUGAAGCCACGUCUGGGUGCUUAGGGCUUGAAGGAGCUUCCAACUUUCUUCAUCAGCAAGCCAUCCUGAUAGGGAGCCCUCCUCUUCUGACCCCUGUGCCCUGGAGGACAGACAGAAGCCCGCAGGGCGUUUCUAGAGAGAUUGCAUUUCAUGAUAUCAAAGUUGCCAUAAAGAGUGGCCCUCCCUGGCCAUAACAACCUACUGAUCAGCUUCCUGUUGCUGUUGUAACGAAUUACUUCACAAUCAGUGGCUUAGAACAACCCAAAUUCAUGGCCUCGUAGUCCUAGUCACAAUUCCAGGUGGGUUUCACUGGUGCCUCGGCUCAGGGUCUCUCAAGGCCAAAACCAAGGUGUCAGCUGGCCUGGCUUCUUAAUCUGCCUCCAAGCUCCUCCUCGUCGCUGGCAGAAUUCAGUUCUGGGGGCUGUGGUCCCUGUGCUCCGUGCUGGCCGUUAGCUGGGGACCUCUCUCUGCAACUGAAGGCCUUUCUUGUCACAUGCCAGGGGGACUGAAUCGGGCUCAACGAGCCUCCCUUGUGGACGCUCCUGGUGCAUGGGAGGCUACAGGCUGAGCACAGCCCAUGCCCUGCCCUCCAGCAGCGAGAACAGAGAGGAAGGCCACUGAAGAGGGACACCAGUGGGGGAGGCAGCCGCAAACUCACCUUGUGAUUUCCCUCCUUGGACAAAUCACUAAUUAAAAGCACACACACCCCCAUCCGCUUUCUCCCUUGUUACCCUCAAGUUUCUUGAGGGAGGGUGGGGCUUAGGAGACAGGCCCUGGGAGGAGGGCAUGUCGGGUCACUGUGGCCUCAUUAGAGCACGGGAUCUUUGGACGUGGUCCCCAAAGCCAGCGGGCAGGUGGCAGUGAGGCAGGGCCAGAGCGGGUACCCGUGACCCAGCGGGCUACCGGAGCUCAGUCUCCCUGGAAACCACAUACAGUGACUCCAUGGGAGGGGAGGAGACCUGGGGUACUGAUCCCCCAGCUCUGUCCGUCCUGAGGUGAGGACUGCCUGGAAUCAGUUCCCCAGCACUCUGGCCUGGCCUGUGGGAGGGCGGAGCUAUUGCGGAAACCCUGAGGCCAGAGACAGGCAGGUGCAAGGGUCUGUGGUGGGGGGGGGUGCGGCCACAACCGCUUCUCAAGGACCCAGAGGCAUCUGUGCCCCCAUCUUCUUCAACUCUCCCUCUGCCUUCCCCGCCCUGGGCCUAAGGGCCUGCCGCCUCACCUCAGGGAAGUGAGGAUGUCCUCUAGACCCAGCACCUGCCUGAAGCUGUCAUUUUUGCCAGAGACCUUCCCAUCCCCCAACGGAUAGGAAGUCACUCUGGCAGCUCAUGGUCCCUGAUAUACACCCUUCCUUCUCUUGCUACAGGAAGCCUAGGAAGAGUGUCCCGAGGGAAUGGGAAAGGCCCCUGUGUACCAGGAAAAACAAGAAAUCCUUCACAUGAUUCUUAUAUACAGACGUGCACCCAAGUGGCCGGAAGCCAGGAUGAAUACGGUAUGUGCGCCCUUGUGAAGUCCUUCCCCAGGAGAGAGAGAGGAAUUCCCAUUGGAGGCAAGCAUGGAAGCCUGCAGGAAAGAGGGGGCAUGUGAGCUGGGCCUGGAGGAGCAUCAGGGCAGGCCCGGUGAGCCUCAGCUCCCUUGGCCUGCUCUAGGGUCCUCGGGCCUGGGAGGAGUGAUCUGUACCCCUGCCAUGCCAGACAAGGGGGGCGAGACAAGACAGAGAAGAACGAAGGGCGCACCCCGUCUGGGAGGCUUCUAAAGCCAGAUCAUUUCAGGAUCCUCCGAGGGCCAAGUGUAGGCCUCUCCAUGGGAACAGGAGGGGCGCCCUCCCCCCAGCUCGCUGAGGCCACCGGACCUGAGCUUCACUGGGGCCAGGACACCAGGUGGGUCUGGCCGGGCUCCCCUGAGAGGGAGGGCUGAACUUCUGCGUGAAUUCCUGCCUUUCUUGUCACUGGACAAGACCUGGGACGACAGCCCCAAUGCCCUGGAGCAGAGUGUCAGAGAAGGAGGUGAGAGCCCGUGAAAAUGGCCGGGACAGGGAGAGCGCAACCUACCCAGGCAGUAUCUUGGCUUCUAGGAGCCCGGUCGGCUUCAGAGAAAAUAAGAAACUCUGAGUUUCCUGGUUGUUCACACUCAGAAACUAAAGCCAAAGAACUUCCAAACAUCUGGCUUUGACCGCACGAAACCCCCACCGUGCCUGCUGGGGCCCCAUUCAGUGAUGUUAUGGCUCCAUCUACAGCCAGAGGAAGGAGCUCGUUGCUGGAGUCUUCUGUGAGCCACCGCCAGGCCUUUUGGAGUUUCACAGGCUCCUUGCAAUUAAUGCUAAUAAGGCCCUCUCCCUCCCUAGCUGCGCGCUUUAUUCAACGCGGCUUUGGAACUACGCUGGAAGUUAUUUAUUUCAGGCUGUGUCUACAACAGCAGCUGUUCAGAAUAUACUAGAAACGCUUUUAGCCAAAAUUGGUUUGGAGUUUCUAUUUUAAACCACUGUUUGUAAUGAACAGAAUUAAACGGGUUUUUUUUUUUUUUUUCUCCUUCACUUUUUUUUUUUUCUUUUUUAACAACAGAACAAAUAAAAGCCCUUAAGAUAGCAAGAUCGCAUUCUCUUUCAUUCACUGAAUAAACAUGUAAUUAGCCACCUUCCCUGCGCCGGCCUCUGUGAUGGGCGCAGUGCCCCGUCAGGCCAAAUACGUCCCAUAAUUGACUCAUCAGAGAACGUCUGCUACUUCCUCUGGUUGCCUGGAACACCCACAUGGGUCAGAAAAAAAGGCAAGGAGAAAGCCCAGGGACACCAGCGGAGAUGGAGCUUAGGAGGCCUCCGAAACCUUGUGACGCGCAAUCCUUUGAUUGCACAUGACAUGUGCAAUGGAAGCUGGGCGUUGGUUCCAUACGGGGGAGAUUUUUGUCCUUUUCCAUUUUUUUCCUCAGAGGUGUAAUUAGCUUUUUCCUGUUAAAAAAAAGGGGGAUCACAACAAUUACGUUUGUGUGGAAAACUUGGAAAACAAGACAAAAGGAAUAGUAAAUCUAAGGCGUUAAUCAUCCCAUCCACCAAGGAUGACCAGUUGGUGGUGGACCAAGCUCAACAUGGCCCGGAACGAACUUUGUCUUUCUGCCAGUGGUUCUCCAGUCUCUCUACCCACAGGACCUGAUCAUUCUUCACGUCACUGCAUAUUCUUCUGCAUAAUUUUGAAUGGCUUCAGAGAAUCCUUUUAUAUAAAUGUACCAUCAUUUAGCCCAGGCCAGAGUCCCCAUAUCUCACAACUGAAAGCUUCGUACGGAUGAUAUUCCUUCAAUUGAACCACUGGCUGUGGGAGUGCUUGGCCAGAGGGCACUUCCCAUGGAGGCCUCUGACACAAUACAUCAAAUCGCCAUUCAGGGUUGAUCUCCUAGAACUUCUGUCAUAUCACCACCAGCAUCUAGGUGGAGAAGCGCCAAUUGUUGGCCACUUCAGAAGGUGGUAAGCGUGAUGGCGAUGGCUGUGUGAAGGGGACCUUGGCUGAGCCUCAAGGACCCAGAGGGAGGGAGCGAGAGCCGUUCGGAAUGGGGUUUUUAUUUUUUGGUACAUUCUGUACCUCGUAGGUGAUUCAGACUGGAAUGCCUCUGGAAGACAGGCAGCCGGACAUGCUUGGAACUGCUAAGGAUUUAGCCAGCAGAGCAUUACCACAAGCUGGGCAGAUGAAGAGACAGAGAGUCAUGCUAGCUCAUCACCCAUAACUCACCGCUGGCCAGGAUUAAAGUCGCCGCUCGUUCAUUUCUCCUUCUUCCACAUCCUACCCACCAUUUGUGUUCACAGGUGCUUCGCCUGGCCCUGCAUGGUUUGCAAGGUUGAGCUGGGCUCCUCUGGAGGCAAUUACAUUCAUUAGGUCUUUGAAAAAAAAAAAAUCCUGGCGCCUCUCAAGUGUGAGGUGUGAUCUACGGAAUCAAUACGUGGCUUAGGGAAGACGUGCAGAUCAUUUUCUGUGGAUCUGAGACGUUCUUCCAUAUGCAUCCCCCCAGUUGUUGGGUUCAUACGGGGAGGAAAUGACUCGAGGGAUAGUGAGAAGCAGAUCUUACCCGGGGACUGCGCAGCUAAAGUCAUUUGGGGUGAGUUUUGGAAAGAGAAGAGGUGGAAAUAACCAGCUUCAGCUGAAAAGGAGAAACUAAAUUAUGUGUCUUUGAUUUUAGGGGGUACCUAAUAGACUCUCUCCCCUUAGUCACAAAAAGAGGGAAAAGAAAGUAGCAGAGAACCCCAGAAUGUUAGGGCCUGAUGUCACCUCUGGGUGGAAGGGGAUACAGUGACAAGGGUCACCCAACCAAGGUCACAGGCUUUGGGGUGGGGGAUGGGGAUGGGCCGGAGCCCUGCCAUCCAUGUAGCAGAACAGGUGUUUAGUCCUUAGGGAGCAAGAAGACCCCCCCCCCCAAAGGGGAGAUGGCAAGGGGAGUUAAGAGCAGGAGAAAGUAGACCUUGCUCUUUUCUGUCUGAUUCACACUUAGGAGAACGAGAGGCAUGGUUCCACCCCAGGUGCCUGGCCCGCGCGCGCAGCUGCACAGAGCAGGGCCGCGUGGGCGGAUGCCCGGGGCCUCUCUGUUUUUAUGGAAUAUUCUCAUCACCUUGGCAUCCUGGCAGUUUCCCUUUGUUGCACAUGCGUCAUGCUGAGAGCAUGGGUGAGGCUCAGGCUCUGGGUCACGCAGAGAUGGUGUUGUCCUAGCUACCCCAGAGUGUGGGCCAGCAUCUCAUGGCACCCCAGGAGUACGCCAGGGGACCACCUGCCAGGCACCCUCCCUCCACCCUCACACUGAGGGCAUGCCCCUGUUGGAUGGAACUGCCCCCAGGCUUCAAUUCGUCUGUUUGGGCUCCCACCAGGAAAGCUCGAGGCAGCAAGGAUCUCCUUAUUACUGAUAGACCGGAGGCAGAAGUAAUGGAUACGCCACACAGCUCAGAGUGGGACCCUUGAGCGUGCCAGACAAAACGGCCAAGAUCUAAUUACACCGACAGAAAUAACUUACACGGUCACCUACCUUCUGCCUGUCCAUCUCCAAACCAGAUAGCCUUUCGCUUCAAGCAACAAUGCAAGUAUUUUGAGGUUGACAUUUCAAUAGGUCCAAGGUCCUGAAUGCAACUGAGCAACUCCCCAUACUUUUUCUGGGCCACGAUUUUCCCAGCACCAGAAGAGGGUCCAUUGUACAUUCCAAUCUCUAAACGUCUCCUCAGCCUCUGGCUCUUCCUCAUUCUGACAAAACAAACAAACAAAAUCUCCCGCCACUGAGCCAGGCAAAGAAAGAGCUUUUAAAGAUAAAAUGGGAAGGUUUUAACUCUGUAUUACACAACUGAGUGUUCCGCUUAUUGGUAUCCAACGAGACCUUGGAGCAGUACAGAACUUUCCAAAUUACCAUGGAGUGAUGUGCUGAUAAACCCAUCCCAAAGGGGCCCUGGGUGGCUCAGUCAGUUAAGCAUCUGCCUUCAUUCAGCUCAGGUCAUGAUCCCAGGGUCUUGGGAUCAAGCCCCGAAUCGGGCUCCCUGCACAGCGGGAAGCCUGCUUCUCCUUCUCCCACUCCCCCUGUUUAUGUUCCCUCUCUUGCUGUCUCUCUCUGUGUCAAAUACAUAAAAUCAUAAAAACAAAGCAAAACAAAAAAACAUUCUAAGAUGAAGAUGUCUGUAAUACACCUCACCUACACAACGUCGUCGCUCAGCCUAGCCUACUUGGAAACGCUCAGAAUACCUACCCUAGCCUACAGUUGGCCAAAAUCAUCUCCCACGGAGCCCAUUUUAUAAUAACGUGUUGGAAAUCUCAUGUGAGUUACUGAAGGUCGCCCUGCAAGUGACAAUCAGAAUGGAUGCUGGUGUGUUGGUCGGUUGUUGACCCUCAUGAUGGUGGGGCUGCCCAGCCUUGCAAGAGAGGAUCCUAACCACAUAUCGCUAGGCCGGGGGAAAGACCCAAAUUCAAAAUUCCAAGUACAGUUUCUGCUGAAUGCAUACCACUUUUGCAAAAUCUAAGAGUCCAAAAAAUCAUAAGUCUAUCCAUCAUAAGCCAGGGAACGUCUUGUCUAAGCGUUGAUGCCAUUCACUUGCCAAUGUAUUUGUCAACUUCAAAAUCAUUCAAGUAAUUGUGAACUACCCACAUUUUUUUCCUCUGGCAAAGCAUCCCAGGCCACUCAGCCCGGUGGUGUGGACAGCAUGCCUCUGUCAGGUGACGCCGGACACCAAGCUGAAAGUUCUUCCCAGAUCCGGAUUGAUAUGUACCCACCUCACGGUUGGAAAGGUUUACAAGGGUGCCAAUUUGGAAAUCCCACUGUCAAUUAUAAAACAGACCUCCUCCGCACUGAGAGGAGGGUAAAAUGCAGAGAUGGAUAUGAAAAUCCGAAGGGCUGUAUGGUCUAAGAAUAAAAUGUUUUCCAAAUCAAAUUAAGCGACACAGUGGAAAUUGAGGAGAAAGUCCUUAAGGUGACUUUUGAAUGAAAAUGAAAUGUCUGUUAGUAAGUUACAGAGGUGCACUGAUACCAAGUGGCAGCCUUGUAUCUCAUUAAUUUCAAACAUAGAUUUUUAUGUGAGGCUAUUUGAUUAUAAUUUGAUUAUCUGACCCUGUAAUUAAAGUUUAUUGCCAAUUUGGAAGCUUACAUGUAAAAUGAACUGGUUUUCUUCAAAGCAAUAUACAAUCCUUUGGACUCAUUGACUCCUGGUUUUGCAUUUAAAUGGAAAAGUCAGUUAUAACGUGACAAACAGGUUGGGGUUUUGAUCAUUAAUCCUGCUAAAGCAAUAUUCAUAAAUUCAAUUCUGAAUCAGUUGGAAUACUUUUCUUUUAUUAGUUUCUGUGUUAUUAAAUGAGAUUGUUUCUGACUAAUAUAUUUCUGGACUCAAACUGUAGCUCCGAGCUGUUAUUCAAAUCAAAUAACAUGCCCCUUACUUGUGCCUCGCACUAAUAAAUGCCAGCUUGUGAUACAUUUG